rnacentral:rRNA from 1 species
CUCAGGUGUUGUUGGGUAGGGGAGCGUUCUGUAAGCCUGCGAAGGUGGCCUGUGAGGGUUGCUGGAGGUAUCAGAAGUGCGAAUGCUGACAUAAGUAACGAUAAAGCGGGUGAAAAGCCCGCUCGCCGGAAGACCAAGGGUUCCUGUCCAACGUUAAUCGGGGCAGGGUGAGUCGACCCCUAAGGCGAGGCCGAAAGGCGUAGUCGAUGGGAAACGGGUUAAUAUUCCCGUACUUGGUGUUACUGCGAAGGGGGGACGGAGAAGGCUAUGUUGGCCGGGCGACGGUUGUCCCGGUUUAAGCGUGUAGGUGUGUGUUCCAGGUAAAUCCGGUUCACUUUAACACUGAGGC